CCUACGGGAGGCAGCAGUGAGGAAUAUUGGUCAAUGGACGAGAGUCUGAACCAGCCAAGUAGCGUGAAGGAUGACUGCCCUAUGGGUUGUAAACUUCUUUUAUAUGGGAAUAAAAUGUUCCACGUGUGGGAUUUUGUAUGUACCAUAUGAAUAAGGAUCGGCUAACUCCGUGCCAGCAGCCGCGGUAAUACGGAGGAUCCGAGCGUUAUCCGGAUUUAUUGGGUUUAAAGGGAGCGUAGGUGGAUUGUUAAGUCAGUUGUGAAAGUUUGCGGCUCAACCGUAAAAUUGCAGUUGAAACUGGCAGUCUUGAGUACAGUAGAGGUGGACGGAAUUCGUGGUGUAGCGGUGAAAUGCUUAGAUAGCACGAAGAACUCCGAUUGCGAAGGCAGUUCACUGGACUGCAACUGACACUGAGGCUCGAAAGUGUGGGUAUCAAACAGGAUUAGAUACCCGGGUAGUC
rnacentral:rRNA from 1 species